AACGAACGCUGGCGGCAGGCCUAACACAUGCAAGUCGAGCGAGACCUUCGGGUCUAGCGGCGGACGGGUGAGUAACGCGUGGGUAUAUGCCCUUUGGUACGGAAUAGCCUCGGGAAACUGAGAGUAAUACCGUAUGUGCCCUUCGGGGGAAAGAUUUAUCGCCAAAGGAUUAGCCCGCGUUGGAUUAGGUAGUUGGUGGGGUAAUGGCCUACCAAGCCUACGAUCCAUAGCUGGUUUGAGAGGAUGAUCAGCCACACUGGGACUGAGACACGGCCCAGACUCCUACGGGAGGCAGCAGUGGGGAAUCUUAGACAAUGGGGGCAACCCUGAUCUAGCCAUGCCGCGUGAGUGAUGAAGGCCUUAGGGUUGUAAAGCUCUUUCAGCUGCGAAGAUAAUGACGGUACCAGCAGAAGAAGCCCCGGCUAACUCCGUGCCAGCAGCCGCGGUAA
rnacentral:rRNA from 1 species